CUCUGUUUGAAUUUCAGCUGUGCCUCAGAUAUGACCUUGGGAAGUCAAUUUCUUUGAACUUUGUUUUCCUUGUCUGUAGGAUAUUUUCCAUAGAUGAUUGUGAUUUACACCUUGCGGGCGUUAAAUUAGACCAUAAAUGCAAGGUUGGCCAAUCCUGAGCACACUGUACUCUUUAGCUGUGAUUAGCUCUUAUCAGGGGUAAUUGACCAGUUUGCCUGGGUCCUUCUCUGUGGCUCUUGAUGUACUCAGUGACGUAAAUCCCUCCGGAAGGAAGAAAGAAGGAACAAAUACUAACAGCCACCUCCACCUUGUGGCUUUAAUUUCAGUGGUUGGGUUAUUUUGUUCAUGGUUAUAGAAGUUUAGUUUCUGGGGGACUUGGGGGGCCUUUUGGUAAAAGAAAGCCCCCAAUAUGGCAAUAUUUCCUCUGGGUGGAGAACACUCAGGAGGGAGAGCUCUCAGCACAAAGGAUGUGACCGUUAACAUCUCUGACUUGACCCCACUGACCCCCUCUAGUGCUGGAGUGUCCACACAGAGCAGACCAUGACCCAAAGUCCACUGAACCUGCAGAGGUGGUGCCGGCACAUUGACCCAAGUCCACUGACAGACAUCAGGGAAAUAAACUAGAGAAUCUGUUCUUAUUCUAGAGGUCCUCCCGAUGCGCUCGGUACCUGGUGGCGGGGCUGAGGAAUGGUCUCUUCCUUCUGAUGACAGCACUCUCAACAGCCUCCAUGGACAGGCAGAAAUGAACCGGGAAUGGAUCCACUCCAGUGGCCUGCUGCACUUGACAGCUCUUGGCGUGGUCCCAUCUUGGGCACCACGGACCCACCAACAAGAUUGCAAGAGACAAACACAUAUGUGGCCUACACAAGAGGGAAUACCAGGGCUCCUCGUCUAUCACCGGACUCCCCCUAAAUCACGAGAGCAUACAGGCCAAGACUGCCUGUUUUCAAAGGAACUUCAUGCCACAGUCCAAGCAAACUUACAAGGAUCAUUCUAG
rnacentral:lncRNA from 1 species